UACGGGGGGGGGCAAGCGUUGUUCGGAAUUACUGGGCGUAAAGGGCGCGUAGGCGGGAUGGCAAGUCGGUCGUGAAAUCCCUCGGCUCAACCGAGGAACGUCGAUCGAUACUGCUGUUCUUGAGGAUUGCAGAGGAGACUGGAAUUCCCGGUGUAGCGGUGAAAUGUGUAGAGAUCGGGAGGAACACCGGUGGCGAAGGCGGGUCUCUGGGCAAUUCCUGACGCUGAGGCGCGAAAGCGUGGGGAGCAAACGGG
rnacentral:rRNA from 1 species